rnacentral:lncRNA from 10 species
AGGCUGCUGCAGCCAAAGUUGAACUUGUGAAAGAGAGCACUGAAAAGAAAAGAGAGAAAAAGGUGCUGGACAUCCCCUCAAAGUAUGACUGGUCAGGAGCAGAGGAGUCUGAUGAUGAGAAUGCUGUGUGCGCAGCACAGAACUGCCAAAGGCCCUGCAAGGACAAGGGAGUUGUAUUUGUAACGGAAGAAGAGAAGAAUAAAAAAUAUUAGUUUUAAAAGUGGCCUAUGUGACUGCUUUUCUAAAAAGGUAGACUGGGUACAAUGUGAUGGUGGCUGUGAUGAGUGGUUUCAUCAAGUUUGUGUGGGUGUAUCUCCAGAAAUGGCUGAAAAUGAAGAUUACAUCUGUAUAAACUGUGCAAAGAAGCAGGGGCCAGUUAGCCCAGGUCCAGCACCACCUCCUUCCUUCAUAAUGAGCUACAAACUACCAAUGGAGGAUCUUAAAGAGACCAGUUAG